GUCUAUGGCCAUACCACACUGAAUGUGCCCAAUCUCGUCUGAUCUCAAAAGCUAAGCCUGGCAUGGUUAGUACUUGAACAGGAGAAUUAUAUUGUAAGGGAAUAUUCAGUCUUUCACU
rnacentral:rRNA from 1 species